rnacentral:rRNA from 1 species
AACGAACGCUGGCGGCAUGCCUAACACAUGCAAGUCGAACGAGACCUUCGGGUCUAGUGGCGCACGGGUGCGUAACGCGUGGGAACCUGCCUUUAGGUUCGGAAUACCUCAGAGAAAUUUGAGCUAAUACCGGAUGAUGUCUUCGGACCAAAGAUUUAUCGCCUUUAGAUGGGCCCGCGUUGGAUUAGCUAGUUGGUGGGGUAAAGGCCUACCAAGGCGACGAUCCAUAGCUGGUCUGAGAGGAUGAUCAGCCACACUGGGACUGAGACACGGCCCAGACUCCUACGGGAGGCAGCAGUGGGGAAUAUUGGACAAUGGGCGAAAGCCUGAUCCAGCAAUGCCGCGUGAGUGAUGAAGGCCUUAGGGUUGUAAAGCUCUUUUACCCGAGAUGAUAAUGACAGUAUCGGGAGAAUAAGCUCCGGCUAACUCCGUG